UAAGACCAGGGUAUCGAUGGUUCCCCGCAAGGGGUGAAAAGGGAACAUGGUGCGGCGCCGCAAGGUGUCAAUGCCAUGGCUGCCCCCGCAACUGUAAGCGGUGAGUACUGCCCGACAUGGCCACUGGGAAACUGGGAAGGCCGGGCAUGUGCGACGACCCGUGAGCCAGGAGACCUGCCAUCGGCAAUGCGUCGCG
rnacentral:ncRNA from 1 species